rnacentral:lncRNA from 13 species
GUUUGUAACAUAUUUAGAUUUAAUAUAUAUAAUAAUAAUAGCACCCAAAGAAGGAAGAGCCAGUAGUUAUGGAGCUAUUAGAGUAAUAAUUCAGUGUCUCACAGAAAUUAAUUUAGCAUAAAUUUCAGGCAUCCUUUGGUAAAUUAUGUAUAUGAUUAUGUCUAGAACAGUUAAUAAGAAAAUAAUGGGUCUCAAAUCAAUAAUCUAGUCCUUUACUUUGAGACACUGGUAAAAGAACAAACUAAAUCUGAAGGAAUCAGAAAGAAGAAAAUGAAAAGUUUUGGAAAGUAACAGAGUAGAAACCAAUGAAAUAGAGAAUAGAAGAAAAAAGUGGAAAAAGUCAAUAAAACCAAAAGCUACUUUUAGAAAUGAUCAACAAAGUUGACAAAGCUUUUAGUUAGACUGGCCAAAACAAAACAAAACAAUCAAGAAAAACAACAGAGGACUCAACUAAAAUCAAGACUGAAACGGGAGGCAUCACUACUGGCUUUACAGAGAUAAAAAGGAUUAUAAGGUAAUAGUAUGAACAACAGUAUGCCCACAAAUUAAAUCAUAUAAAAUAGACAAAUUCCUAGAAAGACACAAGCUACUGAAAGUAUCUCAUGAAGAAAUAGAUCAUCUGAGUAAAAGUAACAAGUAAAGAUAUUGAAUUAUGUAUUUGUCUGUUUUCAUGAUGCUAUGAAAAAAAUACCUGAGACUGGGUAGUUUAUAAAGAAAAGAGGUUUAAUUGACUUAGAGUUCCACGUGGCUGAGGAGGCCUCAGGAAACUUACAAUCAUGGCAUAAGGCACCUCUUCACAAGGUAGCAGGAGAGAGAAUAAGAGCAGAGUGAACGGGGGAGUCCAUUAUAAAGCCAUCAGAUCUCAAGAGAACUCAGUAUCAUGAGAACAGUAUGGAGGAAACUGCCCUGUGAUUCAGUUAUCUCCACCUGGUCCUGCCCUUGACACAUGGGAAUUAUUACAAUUUAAGGUGUUCCAGUCACCUGCUGAAAAAGUGCUGGGAUCUGUGUGAUUUCCCAUGUGGUGACCCACUGUGCAAGCUGAAUCAACGGAGCUGAGAUUCCUGGCGCUUUUUUGUUUGAGAAUCUCCUGGCCUGGCUCUCUGUUUCAGUCCCCUGUUUAAUCAGAUGAAUGGGCGACUCUGCCUUCCUGGAGCUCCAAUCGCCAGCUUAAAAGGGCA